rnacentral:tRNA from 1 species
AUUUGUAUAGUAUAAAAAUUAUGUUUAACUUCCAAUUAAAAGAUCUAAGCACUUAGUACGAAUA